GAUGGACGCUAGCGGCAGGCCUAAUACAUGCAAGUCGAACGGUGUCUUCGGACAUAGUGGCGCACGGGUGCGUAACACGUAUGCAACCUACCUUACACUGGGGGAUAGCCUUUCGAAAGGCAGAUUAAUACCGCAUAAGACAGUAGCUGGGCAUCCAGCAGCUGUUAAAGAUUUAUCGAUUUAUGCUGGGCAUGCGUCCAAUUAGCUAGUUGGUGAGGUAACGGCUCACCAAGGCAAUGAUUGGUAGGGGAACUGAGAGGUCAAUCCCCCACACUGGCACUGAGAUACGGGCCAGACUCCUACGGGAGGCAGCAGUAGGGAAUAUUGGGCAAUGGACGCAAGUCUGACCCAGCCAUGCCGCGUGCAGGAUGAAGGCGUUAUGCGUUGUAAACUGCUUUUAUACAGGAAGAAACGACUCUUGCGAGAGGCAUUGACGGUACUGUAUGAAUAAGCACCGGCUAACUCCGUGCCAGCCGCCGCCGUAAGAC
rnacentral:rRNA from 1 species